CUUCAGAUGUGCAGCAUCCUGAGCUGUCCUGCUUGGCCUGUCCUGCUGCCUGUGGGAUGACUUUCCCUUCAAGUUAGAGAUGAAGAUUGAGUUUGACACAAUUCCAAUAUCUAGAAGAUGCAAAGCAUAAUAGAAAAUGGUUUCAGGAGUUUUGGCAACUGUUCUGUGCUGAUCUUUGUGCUCCAGACAAGCCAAUGGCAAGUCUCAAAAUGGGUUUUGCUCCUAUGGCUGGAAUAAAUGGACUAUUUAUUCCUAGUUCCAUUUACAAACAUCUAUCAGAAUGAGUGACACUGAAGAAAGGUAAAACCUCUGCAAGAAGCAGUUAGAUAAGCAGAAAAUUUAUA